GUGAUUGCCGGAGCCACCCUUGGCAGUGUCUUUGUUUUAGUUCUGAUGUUCAUCGCAGUUGUGUCUGCGCCUAAACUACGCCAAACGUGCAUAAGAAUAUCGUACAUUCCAAAACCGAAAGACUUCAUCACGGAAGAGCUUCCAGUGACCAAUGGAAAGUCUACACCCUCCCUGGACCAACUGUACUUGGUCACUGACAAAGCAAAGAUGGCGCCGGAGAUAGUGGACAACAUCAUGGACUUAAAAACUUUUGAACUUGGACCAUGUGAUCCUGC